GAUGAACGCUGGCGGCGUGCCUAAUACAUGCAAGUCGAGCGAACGGGCGAGAAGCUUGCUUCUCUGAUGUUAGCGGCGGACGGGUGAGUAACACGUGGAUAACCUACCUAUAAGACUGGGAUAACUUCGGGAAACCGGAGCUAAUACCGGAUAAUAUUUUGAACCGCAUGGUUCAAAAGUGAAAGACGGUCUUGCUGUCACUUAUAGAUGGAUCCGCGCUGCAUUAGCUAGUUGGUAGGGUAACGGCUUACCAAGGCAACGAUGCAUAGCCGACCUGAGAGGGUGAUCGGCCACACUGGAACUGAGACACGGUCCAGACUCCUACGGGAGGCAGCAGUAGGGAAUCUUCCGCAAUGGGCGAAAGCCUGACGGAGCAACGCCGCGUGAGUGAUGAAGGUCUUCGGAUCGUAAAACUCUGUUAUUAGGGAAGAACAUAUGUGUAAGUAACUGUGCACAUCUUGACGGUACCUAAUCAGAAAGCCACGGCUAACUACGU
rnacentral:rRNA from 1 species